CAGCAAUGCUCUGACGGCGACCGGCGGAAGGGUGCGUAACACGUGAGCGACUUGCCCGUCACAGGGGGAUAACCGGCGGAAACGGCGACUAAUACCCCAUACGAUGCGAUGCUGCAUGGCAUUGCAUUGAAAGAUUCAUCGGUGGCGGAUAGGCUCGCGGGACAUUAGCUAGACGGCGGGGCAACGGCCCACCGUGGCGACGAUGUCUAGGGGUUCUGAGAGGAAGACCCCCACACUGGGACUGAGACACGGCCCAGACUCC
rnacentral:rRNA from 1 species